AUGAACGCUGGCGGCGUGCCUAAUACAUGCAAGUCGAGCGAACAGACGAGGAGCUUGCUCCUCUGACGUUAGCGGCGGACGGGUGGGUAACACGUGGAUAACCUACCUAUAAGACUGGGAUAACUUCGGGAAACCGGAGCUAAUACCGGAUAAUAUAUUGAACCGUAUGGUUCAAUAGUGAAAGACGGUUUUGCUGUCACUUAUAGAUGGAUCCGCGCCGCAUUAGCUAGUUGGUAAGGUAACGGCUUACCAAGGCAACGAUGCGUAGCCGACCUGAGAGGGUGAUCGGCCACACUGGAACUGAGACACGGUCCAGACUCCUACGGGAGGCAGCAGUAGGGAAUCUUCCGCAAUGGGCGAAAGCUUGACGGAGCAACGCCGCGUGAGUGAUGAAGGUCUUCGGAUCGUAAAACUCUGUUAUUAGGGAAGAACAAAUGUGUAAGUAACUAUGCACGUCUUGACGGUACCUAAUCAGAAAGCCACGGCUAACUACGUG
rnacentral:rRNA from 1 species